rnacentral:rRNA from 1 species
CGAAGGAUGCAAGCGUUAUCCGGAUUCAUUGGGUUUAAAGGGAGCGUAGGUGGACUGAUAAGUCAGUGGUGAAAUCUUCGAGCUUAACUCGGAAAUUGCCAUUGAUACUGUUGGUCUUGAGUACAGUUGCUGUGGGCGGAAUAUGACAUGUAGUGGUGAAAUACAUAGAGAUGUCAUAGAACACCGAUUGCGAAGGCAGCUCACAAAGCUGUAACUGACACUGAGGCUCGAAAGUGCGGGGAUCAAACAGGAUUAGAUACCCUGGUAGUCCGCACUGUAAACGAUGAUUACUCGCUGCUAGAUGGCAACAUUUAGUGGCUUAGCGAAAGCGAUAAGUAAUCCACCUGGGGAGUACGCCGGCAACGGUG